AGUGAACGCUGGCGGCAGGCCUAACACAUGCAAGUCGAGCGGCAGCGGGUCCUUCGGGAUGCCGGCGAGCGGCGGACGGGUGAGGAAUACAUCGGAAUCUGCCCUGUCGUGGGGGAUAACCUAGGGAAACUUAGGCUAAUACCGCAUACGACCUACGGGUGAAAGCGGGGGAUCGCAAGACCUCGCGCGACAGGAUGAGCCGAUGUCCGAUUAGCUAGUUGGCGGGGUAAAGGCCCACCAAGGCGACGAUCGGUAGCUGGUCUGAGAGGAUGAUCAGCCAUACUGGGACUGAGACACGGCCCAGACUCCUACGGGAGGCAGCAGUGGGGAAUAUUGGACAAUGGGCGCAAGCCUGAUCCAGCCAUGCCGCGUGGGUGAAGAAGGCCUUCGGGUUGUAAAGCCCUUUUGUCCGGGAAGAAAUCGUCUGGGCUAAUACCCCGGGCGGAUGACGGUACCGGAAGAAUAAGCACCGGCUAACUUCGUG
rnacentral:rRNA from 1 species